rnacentral:rRNA from 1 species
GAUGAACGCUGGCGGCGUGCCUGACACAUGCAAGUCGAGCGGAGAUGAUGAAGUUUCGACGGAUUCAUCUUAGCGGCGGGCGGGUGAGUAACACGUGAGUAACCUGCCUUCUUCUGGGGAAUAACACAGACAAAUUUGUGCUAAUACCGCAUCAAGUCACGACUGGGCAUCCAGAUGUGUCCCAAGGAUUUAUUCGGUGGAAGAUGGACUCGCGUGCGAUUAGGUAUUUGGUGAGGUAACGGCCCACCAAGCCGACGCUCGGUAGCCGAACUGAGAGGUUGAUCGGCCACAUUGGGAGUGAGACACGGCCCAGACUCCUACGGGAGGCAGCAGUGGGGAAUAUUGGGCAAUGGGGGAAACCCAGACCCAGCAACGCCGCGUGAAGGACGAAGGCCUUCGGGUUGUAAACUUCUUUGAUCAGGGACGAAACAAAUGACGGUACCUGAAGAACAAGCCACGGCUAACUACGUGCCAGCAGCCGCAGUAA